AUCCUACGGGGGGCAGCAGUAGGGAAUCUUCCACAAUGGGCGAAAGCCUGAUGGAGCAACGCCGCGUGGGUGAAGAAGGUCUUCGGAUCGUAAAACCCUGUUGUUAGAGAAGAAAGUGCGUGAGAGUAACUGUUCACGUUUCGACGGUAUCUAACCAGAAAGCCACGGCUAACUACGUGCCAGCAGCCGCGGUAAUACGUAGGUGGCAAGCGUUAUCCGGAUUUAUUGGGCGUAAAGGGAACGCAGGCGGUCAUUUAAGUCAGCGGUCAAAGCCCGGGGCUCCACCCCGGCCCG
rnacentral:rRNA from 1 species